rnacentral:rRNA from 1 species
UGGGGAAUUUUGGACAAUGGGCGAAAGCCUGAUCCAGCAAUGCCGCGUGUGUGAAGAAGGCCUUCGGGUUGUAAAGCACUUUUGUCCGGAAAGAAAUCCUUGGCUCUAAUACAGUCGGGGGAUGACGGUACCGGAAGAAUAAGCACCGGCUAACUACGUGCCAGCAGCCGCGGUAAUACGUAGGGUGCAAGCGUUAAUCGGAAUUACUGGGCGUAAAGCGUGCGCAGGCGGUUUGCUAAGACCGAUGUGAAAUCCCCGGGCUCAACCUGGGAACUGCAUUGGUGACUGGCAGGCUAGAGUAUGGCAGAGGGGGGUAGAAUUCCACGUGUAGCAGUGAAAUGCGUAGAGAUGUGGAGGAAUACCGAUGGCGAAGGCAGCCCCCUGGGCCAAUACUGACGCUCAUGCACGAAAGCGAGGGAGCAAACAGGAUUAGAUACCCUGGUAGUCCACGCCCUAAACGAUGUCAACUAGUUGUUGGGGAUUCAUUUCCUUAGUAACGUAGCUAACGCGUGAAGUUGACCGCCUGGGGAGUACGGUCGCAAGAUUAAAACUUAAAUGAAUUGACGGGGUCAUAGCUGUUUCCU